rnacentral:rRNA from 1 species
UACGUAGGGUGCAAGCGUUAAUCGGAAUUACUGGGCGUAAAGCGUGCGCAGGCGGUCCGUUAAGACAGAUGUGAAAUCCCCGGGCUUUAACCUGGGAACUGCAUUUGUGACUGGCGGACUCGAGUAUGGCAGAGGGGGGUAGAAUUCCACGUGAUGAGCAGUGAAAUGCGUAGAGAUGUGGAGGAAUACCGAUGGCGAAGGCAGCCCCCUGGGCCAAUACUG